rnacentral:rRNA from 1 species
GAUGAACGCUGGCGGCGUGCCUAAUACAUGCAAGUCGAGCGAAUGGAUUGAGAGCUUGCUCUUAUGAAGUUAGCGGCGGACGGGUGAGUAACACGUGGGUAACCUGCCCAUAAGACUGGGAUAACUCCGGGAAACCGGGGCUAAUACAGGAUAACAUUUUGAACCGCAUGGUUCGAAAUUGAAAGGCGGCUUCGGCUGUCACUUAUGGAUGGACCCGCGUCGCAUUAGCUAGUUGGUGAGGUAACGGCUCAACAAGGCAACGAUGCGUAGCCGACCUGAGAGGGUGAUCGGCCACACUGGGACUGAGACACGGCCCAGACUCCUACGGGAGGCAGCAGUAGGGAAUCUUCCGCAAUGGACGAAAGUCUGACGGAGCAACGCCGCGUGAGUGAUGAAGGCUUUCGGGUCGUAAAACUCUGUUGUUAGGGAAGAACAAGUGCUAGUUGAAUAAGCUGGCACCUUGACGGUACCUAACCAGAAAGCCACGGCUAACUACGUGCCAGCAGCCGCCGUAA